CUUGGUAUCCUGAUAAUCUUGCUUGGCAUUCAAAUUUUUCUCGAAUGCAGCUAAGGAAGAACCAAACCCUUGAGAGGUUUCAUGAGUUCUUAAAGCUGGAAAAUGAAAUUGGAAACAUCACAAGACAGGAGGCUGUCAGCAUGGUACCUCCUCUCUUCUUGGACGUAUGUCCAAAUCAUUUUGUACUUGAUAUGUGUGCUGCACCAGGUUCAAAAACAUUUCAGUUGCUGGAGAUUAUAUAUCAAUCAACAAAAGCAGGAUCACUGCCUGAUGGAAUGGUUAUAGCAAAUGACCUUGAUGUCCAAAGAUGUAAUCUUCUGAUCCACCAAACGAAAAGAAUGUGCACUGCUAACUUAAUAGUCACAAAUAAUGAAGCCCAACAUUUCCCUGGUUGCCGCGCAAACAAAAAUUUCCCUAAGGCUUCUGAGAUUGAAUUACGGCCCCCCAUUAGUCAACUUCUUUUUGAUCGCGUCUUGUGUGAUGUUCCUUGCAGUGGAGAUGGCACGCUUCGCAAGGCUCCUGAUCUGUGGAGGAAAUGGAAUUCAGGGAUGGGCAAUGGGCUUCAUAAUCUACAAAUUCAGAUAGCAAUGCGAGGCUUAUCCUUACUUAAAGUUGGUGGAAGAAUGGUUUACUCAACCUGCUCAAUGAAUCCAGUUGAAAAUGAGGCUGUUGUUGCUGAGAUUUUACGGAGGUGUGGAGGGUCUGUUGAGCUAGUUGAUGUCUCCAAAGAGCUUCCUCAACUCGUUCGUCGGCCAGGUCUAAGGAAAUGGAAGGUGCGUGAUAAGGGUAUUUGGUUAUUUUCACACAAAGAUGUCUCCAAAUUCCGAAGAUUUGGGAUUCUUCCCAGUAUGUUUCCUUCUGGAAGAACCUAUGUUGCCCCAACAAAUGGAGAUCAUAAGCAUGAGAAUGGUGCUAAUAUGAAUUCUGAAGAUGAGCUAAUGGAGGAUCCUAUGACUUCAACAGAGGAUUUGAAUGAAGAAGUUUCUGAUCUCCCUCUAGAGCGUUGCAUGAGGAUAGUACCUCAUGAUCAGAACAGUGGGGCCUUUUUCAUCGCUGUCCUCCGCAAACUCUCUCCUUUGCCAGUCAUUCAGGAGAAACCCAGUCGGCGUGGAAAUUUGUUGACUAAAAAAGAUGAACUACAAGAAAAAUUAUCAGAACAGGUUACUGAAUGUAAUAAUGGAGUGGAG
rnacentral:misc_RNA from 1 species